rnacentral:rRNA from 1 species
AACGAACGCUGGCGGCAUGCCUAACACAUGCAAGUCGAACGAGACCUUCGGGUCUAGUGGCGCACGGGUGCGUAACGCGUGGGAACCUGCCCUUAGGUUCGGAAUAAUUCCCCGAAAGGGGUGCUAAUACCGGAUAAUGUCUUCGGACCAAAGAUUUAUCGCCUUUGGAUGGGCCCGCGUUGGAUUAGCUAGUUGGUAGGGUAAAAGCCUACCAAGGCGACGAUCCAUAGCUGGUCUGGGAGGAUGAUCAGCCACACUGGGACUGAGACACGGCCCAGACUCCUACGGGAGGCAGCAGUGGGGAAUAUUGGACAAUGGGCGAAAGCCUGAUCCAGCAAUGCCGCGUGAGUGAUGAAGGCCUUAGGGUUGUAAAGCUCUUUUACCCGGGAUGAUAAUGACAGUACCGGGAGAAUAAGCUCCGGCUAACUCCGUG